UACAGAGGGUGCGAGCGUUAAUCGGAAUUACUGGGCGUAAAGCGCACGUAGGCGGCUAUUCAAGUCAGAGGUGAAAGCCCGGGGCUCAACCCCGGAACUGCCUUUGAAACUAGAUGGCUAGAAUCUUGGAGAGGCGAGUGGAAUUCCGAGUGUAGAGGUGAAAUUCGUAGAUAUUCGGAAGAACACCAGUGGCGAAGGCGACUCGCUGGACAAGUAUUGACGCUGAGGUGCGAAAGCGUGGGGAGCAAACAGG
rnacentral:rRNA from 1 species